AUGAGAAAAGCAGUUGCUUGGGCAAUAUGUGACAUGAGAAGCAGCACCGAGACACCAGGAAGGGGAGGCAUGGCUGGUGCUCCAGCAGCACCCAGCAAACCACAGCGUGGAAUCGUGCCCUUCGUGUGCCGGGCCACCUGGGGACUGGCCUGUGCAGAAGGGGGUGACUGCAAGAAGACUUCCGACCUGCCUGCCUUUUCUUUCCAAAGUCUGGCCAUGCUUGCAGCUUUCUCGUUAAGCCAAGCACAGGCUAAUCCUCUCGGCUCUGCUCUUCGAGGUACCGGCUACCCAUCAGGGAAGAGCAACGUGACUUCAUCAGCCAGAAAAGGGGGUGAGUGGUGCAGGCAAGUGUGUGUUUCUCUCCUCAGAAAUGCAUUAACAGCUAAGACCUCCAGUCUGAUGGACUUGCUUGGGGCUCUUCCAAGCUGGGAUUUAGGAAAAGCAACUACACAGCAUUUCCCACUUCCCGUCCCCAUGGAGCCCCGGUGA
rnacentral:lncRNA from 1 species